CAAAAACAUAUCACCAGUUUAACAAACAACUAUAAGAACUAUAUUGUGCUUUAUGCCUAAACUGUAGGUGGAUGUUUGUGGCAUAUUGUCCUGGUGUGUCCCUCAAUAUAACAGCUACUGUACGUCAUCUUCGAAGCUCUUACAUUUAUCUUCAUUUGAUGCAUUUCAUCUUUCAGUACAAGGCCUCCCCAGUGGACUUUUAGAAUCUAAUGGCAAUACAAUUUCAUCCAACACUUCACAUGAUACUUUUCGCAUACUUUGACAAGGAAGAAAUUCAAAUGGUAUUGCAUAUAUAUCACAAUAAUUUCUAUUAAUGUAGUAAGGAGAUCAAUAGUUCUCUCCAUGUUGAUUUCUAUACGUGAUAAUAGUCAUGGCAUGACUACAAGGUAUCUCAUCUAAUUGAAAUCAUCCACAACUAUAUUUUCUAUUUUGCAGAUAAGCAAUGAAUCUUUCAGCUCCAUCAAUCAUGGUAUACAAGAAUUCAGUUGAUGCUCUUACCAUCAAUAAACAUAUUUUUCAUACUCAAAACAUAUACUAAUAUUAAUAAUAAAAAGAAUUAAUUUAGAUUAUUUAAAUAAUGUUAUGCCGCGUAAUCAAACAGUUACUGUCAUAGUGUAAUAUAGCUUAUGAUUUUUCUUGAGAAUUUUAUUGUACUUGACCGUUAGUUUUGUGAAUGUGUUAUUUGCUUCUGCGUUCUGUUUUGCAUUUCAUGAUUCAACGUCAACCUCAUAAAAUUCAUUGUUGAAAUUACAGGCAAUCUUCUAGCAAUCUUGUUGGUAUUAUUUAUGAAUUCAACUAUGUUUAACGUCAAUAUUCAAGUUUAUUUGACGGUAGAAUAAACCCUAUCCCAUUUGUGAUAGCCAACUUUAAAAAAAUAUCUCCGCACUCUGUUAUCUAUUUGAUCCACCCUCUCCAUUAAUUCUUUAAAUUGUUGGAGAGUGUACGUCUUUGUCAUGACAAAAAAAAGUUUAUAUAGUUCCUCAAUAUUCUUGCGGAGAUUUUUCUUUAUAUUGCCCCACAAAUGUCAAAUGUAUUCAUGAAGUGAAAGGUUGUGAUAUGCUAUUGAAGUUGCUUUUCAUAUGCUAUCGGUUUUAUUUGAUACGAUACACAUAUCCUCUCUUUCACCAAAUGCUUUUCAAAAAUUUUCAAAAAGAUCAUGUUCAAAAUGCAAUUCUCAAAAUCAACCACGACAUAAGCAAAUGACAGUAUAUGACCUAAUUAUAUUUCGUAAUUAUAUGCAAGAUAAGAGUUGGUUAUUUACUUAAUUUAAAUUAACGAAUAAAAAUAAAAAUAAAAAACAUACCAGAUUCACCAGAUUCAUACCAACAUCAGUAACAUAUUUAUAAAUACAAUUUUUUUUAAAAUAAAAUAAAGAAUUUACCUCCUGAGUCCAAUGUACUUGCAAUCAACAUAGUCCCACAGUAUAAUAAUUUUAGAAUAGCCCCGUCUAAAACAAUCAUUGGUCUGCAAUAUUUCUAACCCCGAAUAGAAGCAUUCAAUGCAAAAAGAAGCAUAUAAGAAUUGAUUUUCCUCUGUUUUAUGUCAUCUAAGGAUAGAUCGAGGAUAAUUUUUGUCCAAAAUAUACAAGUAACGUGGAAUUUUUUGUUAUGAUUUUGUAGGAUCACCACACAACAUCUUAACUAUCUUUUUCUUUGCAUGUAAUGCUUGGUUAUAGUUAAAUAACACCCCGUAUUGUUUCAACAUGUCUGUAACAAUAUCAUUUGGGGUGUACAAUCUUUUUGUGUCUACAAAAUUGCUCAAUACUAAUUCUGCGACAACCCUUGUCAUUCCUUGACAUCUUGCAUAUAUUUGAUUCUUUAUUGAGCAUGUGUAUAUUUCAUAAUACUUUCUGAUCUUGAAAACUUCAGAUCCGUUCAUACUCGAUGACCGAAGAAAUCAUGUAUAAUCUUUCAUCAGGCAAACAAGGUAAUAGCUAUUUAAGAUGUAGUACAAACAACAAAUCAACAAACAUAUCAAAUUAAUACAUCAAAUCAUAUAGAUUUAUUUUUCAAGAAGAAUGAAAUACAAAAUUUAUUAUUUGCCAUCACUAGAUUGUUUGACGUGAAACGAGAUUUGAUCCACAAUCGUGUAAAGUUUCAUAACAUUUGCAAGAGUCUCCUUAUUCUUGUAAACUUGUUUAACAACUAUUUUUGUAUUUAUUGGAUCACUUAUUAUUUCAACUCAUUCUUAAUCAAAUAUUUCUUCCUCCGAACUUAAUCCAAUUAAAUGAAUUGAAUCAUUUGUGUAUAGAUGUUGCUGCUCCACAUUUACUUUAUUACAACUUUGAUUCUGACCACAAACAAUAGAUUGUUCAGUACAUUCUAUUGAAUUCAUCACUAUAUCCUUGUAAGUGAUAUACAAUCGAUAUUUAAAGAAGAAUUCUGAAAUGAUUAUUUUUUGAUCCAAAUGUACUUUAACUCCCAUAUCAUUGUGUAUGAUCACUAGUGGGCAUUUAUCACUAACUAUGUAUCUAAUUUCAAUUUGUACAUAAUUAAUGUCUAUCUUUAGUUGUGUUGCGAUCGUCUUUAUCAAUCCAUUAUAUUUUGUGUUUGAAUCAUACAUAAUUCCGUCAACACCAAAAUAUUUAGGCUUCUUGUUGUAAGGUAUACACAAUUGUUGAAUUAUUAGUUUUCAGUAAAAUUUGACACAAAAAUUUCAAAAAUUAAACACAAUUAAAAAAAUUAUAAACUCAAAAAUAACUAAGAAAAAAUAAUUAACUUAAAAUAUUAUACAAUUAUCUAUCAGAAUUUAUACCAACAUUAUUAAAUUGUCAACAUAUAUAAAAUAGAUUUAUAAUUUCUUUUAUUUUUAUUCAUUUUGAUCACAGUUAACAUAAAUUUCUUAUAUGUUUUCUAAUAAAAAAUCACAAAAAUAUAAUUUUUUUAAGAUUAAUUACCUGUUGGUCCCAUCUUCCUCCAUGUGUAUCAUGGUUCGAUGUAAACAAGCAUCAUCCAUAUUGCAUUAAUCUCUAUUGUAUUUGUAUUUUUUUAAAUUCGAUUUGUUUCAAUUAAAAUACAGAAAUAUGUAUUUCAAUUGAAAUCUUCGGCGUUGAAAGAAAAAGAAUUUCUGAAAUUAUGAGUUUCAAUCAAUAUAUAUUUUCUGUAUUGUUGAAGGAAGAAGAUGAAGUAUAGAAUUUCUGUAUGUUCUCUGAAUUGUUGAAGGAAGAAGAUGAAGUAUAAAACGGC
rnacentral:lncRNA from 1 species